AGCUCUCCGAGUGGUGUGGAUGUUUAUUGGGCCUAAAGCAUCCGUAGCUGGCUAAGUUAGUCCCUUGUUAAAUCCACCGAAUUAAUCGUUGGAUUGCGGGGGAUACUGCUUAGCUAGGGGACGAGAGAGGCAGACGGUUAUUUCCGGGGGUAGGGGUGAAAUCCUAUAAUCCCGGGAAGACCACCAGUGGCGAAGGCUGUCUGCUAGACGCGCCCGAGGUGAGGGAUGAAAGCGUGGGGGAGCGAACC
rnacentral:rRNA from 1 species